rnacentral:rRNA from 1 species
GACGAACGCUGGCGGCGUGCUUAACACAUGCAAGUCGAACGGAAAGGCCCUGCUUUUGUGGGGUGCCCGAGUGGCGAACGGGAGAGUAACAUGUGAGUCACCUGCCCUUGACUUUGGGAUCACUUCAGGAAACCGGGGCUAAUACCGGAUAGGCGCUCCUGCUGCAUGGUGGGGGUUGGAAAGUUUCGGCGGCUGGGGAUGGACUCGCGGCUUAUCAGCUUGUUGGUGGGGUAGUGGCUUACCAAGGCUUUGACGGGUAGCCGGCCUGUGAGGGUGAGCGGGCACAUUGGGACUGAGAGACGGCCCAGACACCUACGGGAGGGAGCGGUGGGGAAUAUUGCACAAUGGGGGGGAGCCUGUGGCAGCAACGCCGCGUGCGGGAUGACGGCCUUCGGGGUGUGAACCGCGUUCGCCUGUGACGAAGCGUGAGUGACGGUAAUGGGUAAAGAAGCACCGGCUAACUACGUG